CCUACGGGAGGCAGCAGUGGGGAAUAUUGCACAAUGGGGGAAACCCUGAUGCAGCGACGCCGCGUGAGUGAAGAAGUAAUUCGUUAUGUAAAGCUCUAUCAGCAGGGAAGAACAUGACGGUACCUGAGUAAGAAGCCCCGGCUAACUACGUGCCAGCAGCCGCGGUAAUACGGAGGGGGCAAGCGUUCUCCGGAUUUACUGGGUGUAACGGGAGCGUAGGCGGCAGUGCAAGUCUGGAGUGAAAGGCGGGGGCUCAACCCCCGGACUGCUCUGGAAACUGGACGGCUGGAGUGCAGGAGAGGUAAGUGGAAUUCCUAGUGUAGCGGUGAAAUGCGUAGAUAUUAGGAGGAACACCAGUGGCGAAGGCGACUUACUGGACUGUAACUGACGUUGAGGCUCGAAAGCGUGGGGAGCAAACAGGAUUAGAUACCCCUGUAGUC
rnacentral:rRNA from 1 species